UUUUCCAUCCCGAGGUUGGGCUGGUUUCUCCUCUUGGCCCUGCCCUACAGACCAUAAAGGAGAACAGCAAGAGGCUCCCAGCAAACAUCCACAGAUUGCCCUGGACAUCAGCCACAUUCUGAGAAACAUGUCAUGUUCUGGGAGGGCUAAGGCAUCAAGAAUUCAAGUGACUAUAUUGCCACCAUCUUGGAGCUCACUGCCCUCAGUGUAAUGGCACCAGUAGAUCUGCCUGUGCACAGACUUCCUGUACUACCCACUCUUGAGGGGUGAUGCUUCUGCCUCACCAUAUGCUCAGGCCUAUGACCGGAUGCACAACUUUAGACACCAUCAUCCUGGAGCAGCUCUGCACCCUCACUAGCCAGGGUGUUGACAUCCUCAAGGCCAAGGCCACAUUCAAGACUUUGGAUUUCAUUGAUGCACUUGUCCUGAGCAAAGAUACGACAGCACAGCCAGUGGCCUCUACUGGAUCCUGUACAACCUCACAAGACACCCAGGCAGUGGGAGUGCUGGCAGCAUGUGGUACAAGAGUUCCAAGGGACCACAAUCCUGAAGACAUUGAAUGCCAUUUUGCAGACCCUGGUCAGAGUGAAACGUUCUAUGGGAACUCGGGCCGUGAGAAGCAUCCUUCCUAACCACCUGACUGUAGAAACAUCCUUAUCACAUCCUCCCGGUCAAAGGCCCAACAGCCUGACUGCAGGAACAUCCUUGCCAUAUCCUGCCGGGCAGCAAGCUCUACCGCCCAGACCCCUCCCUCCCAGUCCCAUGAUUGCCCCA
rnacentral:lncRNA from 1 species